rnacentral:rRNA from 1 species
GACGAACGCUGGCGGCGUGCUUAACACAUGCAAGUCGAACGGGCCCGCUCUCUUUUUUGGGGGUGGGUUGAGUGGCGAACGGGUGAGUAUCACGUGAGUAACCUGCCCCCUGCUCCUGGAUAACUGCUUGAAAGGGCGGCUAAUACGGGGUGUGCCGGCUGGUCCGCAUGGGCCUGGUCGGGAUAGUUUCAUCUUCGGGUGUUUCGGUGGGGGAUGGGCUCGCGGCCUAUCAGCUUGUUGGUGGGGUGAUGGCCCACCAAGGCGGUGACGGGUAGCCGGCCUGAGAGGGUGGGCGGCCACACUGGGACUGAGACACGGCCCAGACUCCUGCGGGAGGCAGCAGUGGGGGGUAUUGCACAAUGGGCGGAAGCCUGAUGCAGCGACGUCGCGUGAGGGAUGGAGGCCUUCGGGUGGUGAACCUCUUUCUCCGGUGGUGAAGGCCCUGUCCGUUGCGGCGGGGUUGACGGUAGCCGGGUAUGAAGCGCCGGCUAACUACGUG